AGUGGCGGACGGGUGAGUAACGCGUGAGAAUCUGCCUUGGGGUCGGGGACAACCACUGGAAACGGUGGCUAAUACCGGAUAAGCCGAUUGGUGAAAGAUUUAUUGCCCGAAGAGGAGCUCGCGUCUGAUUAGCUAGUUGGUGAGGUAAGAGCUCACCAAGGCAGCGAUCACUAGCUGGUCUGAGAGGACGAUCAGCCACACUGGGACUGAGACACGGCCCAGACUCCUACGGGAGGCAGCAGUGGGGAAUUUUCCGCAAUGGGCGAAAGCCUGACGGAGCAAGACCGCGUGAGGGAGGAAGGCUCUUGGGUUGUAAACCUCUUUUCUCAGGGAAGAAGCUCUGACGGUACCUGAGGAAUCAGCCUCGGCUAACUCCGUGCCAGCAGCCGCGGUAAUACGGAGGAGGCAAGCGUUAUCCGGAAUUAUUGGGCGUAAAGCGUCCGCAGGUGGCGAUUCAAGUCUGCUGUCAAAGCACGGGGCUUAACUCCGUAAAGGCAGUGGAAACUGAAUAGCUAGAGUGCCGUAGGGGUAGAGGGAAUUCCCGGUGUAGCGGUGAAAUGCGUAGAGAUCGGGAAGAACAUCGGUGGCGAAAGCGCUCUACUGGACGGCAACUGACACUCAGGGACGAAAGCUAGGGGAGCGAAUGGGAUUAGAUACCCC
rnacentral:rRNA from 1 species